GACGAACGCUGGCGGCGUGCUUAACACAUGCAAGUCGAACGAGAACGGAAUAUAGCUUGCUAUAUUUGUCAGCUAAGUGGCGCACGGGUGAGUAAUGUAUAGAUAACCUGCCCUUAAGAAAGGAAUAACAGUUGGAAACGACUGCUAAUGCCCUAUAUGCCUUUAAUACAUAAGUAUGCAAGGGAAACGCUUUAGUGCUUAAGGAUGGGUCUGUAUGGUAUCAGCUUGUUGGUGAGGUAAUGGCUCACCAAGGCUAUGACGCCUAACUGGUUUGAGAGGAUGAUCAGUCACACUGGAACUGAGACACGGUCCAGACUCCUACGGGAGGCAGCAGUGGGGAAUAUUGCACAAUGGACGAAAGUCUGAUGCAGCAACGCCGCGUGGAGGAUGACACAUUUCGGUGCGUAAACUCCUUUUAUAUAGGAAGAUAAUGACGGUACUAUAUGAAUAAGCACCGGCUAACUCCGUGCCAGCCGCCGCCGUAAAAC
rnacentral:rRNA from 1 species